GAACCGUCUCUGGAAGAGCCCACCUGCGCAGCCCGAGCUGUCGCGUAGUAGAACACUUACCCUGGAUGCACCCUCUGCUCCCAUUCGGCCACCCCUAACUAUCAUUCUUUUGUUCUUCCGGUUACUGCGUAGUAAUGGAACAAAUACGUCGACUGUACAAAAGGAAAAAAGACUGGAGAGCUAGAAAGCAAAAAAAGAGAAAAGUUCUGUUUGGAAUUCUACUCGAGGAAAACAUGUCAUUUUGUUUAGCAGCGAUGGCUAUGUGUCAGAAAAAGAAGAAUGUUUCAUGAAUUUAGGAUUAAGAUGCUAUUCAGGAUUAAUUACUUUUAAAGAGAAAGAUGUGACCAUGUUUCGGCAUCUUCAACUAAAUAAAUGUUUAUAAUUAUAAUCAGAUAAAA